CCUACGGGCGGCAGCAGUAGGGAAUCUUCCACAAUGGGCGAAAGCCUGAUGGAGCAACGCCGCGUGGGUGAAGAAGGUCUUCGGAUCGUAAAACUCUGUUGUUAGAGAAGAAAGUGCGUGAGAGUAACUGUUCACGUUUCGACGGUAUCUAACCAGAAAGCCACGGCUAACUACGUGCCAGCAGCCGCGGUAAUACGUAGGUGGCAAGCGUUAUCCGGUUUUAUUGGGCGUAAAGGGAGCGCAGGCGGUCUUUUAAGUCUGAUGUGAAAGCCUUCGGCUUAACCGGAGUAGUGCAUUGGAAACUGGGGGACUUGAGUGCAGAAGAGGAGAGUGGAACUCCAUGUGUAGCGGUGAAAUGCGUAGAUAUAAGGAAGAACACCAGUGGUGAAAGCGGCUCUCUGGUCUGUAACUGACGCUGAGGUUCGAAAGCGUGGGUAGCAAACAGGAUUAGAUACCCCAGUAGUC
rnacentral:rRNA from 1 species